UAGUCCACGCCGUAAACGAUGAGAACUAGAUGUCGGGAGGAUCAGCCUUUCGGUGUCGCAGUUAACGCAUUAAGUUCUCCGCCUGGGGAGUACGCCGGCAACGGUAAAACUCAAAGGAAUUGACGGGACCCGCACAAGCGGUGGAGCAUGUGGUUUAAUUCGAUGCAACGCGAAGAACCUUACCUGCCCUUGACAUUGACAGAAUCCUGUAGAGAUACGGGAGUGCUUCGGCCUGGAAAACAGGUGCUGCAUGGCUGUCGUCAGCUCGUGUCGUGAGAUGUUGGGUUAAGUCCCGCAACGAGCGCAACCCUUGUCCUUAGUUGCCAGCACUUCGGGUGGAACUCUAAGGAGACCGCCGGUGACAAACCGGNGGAAGGUGGGGACGACGUCAAGUCAUCAUGGCCCUUAUGGGGCAGGGGCUACACACGUGCUACAAUGGGUUGGUACAGGAGGGGUUGCCAAGGCGGCAACGGUGGAGCUAAUCCCUUAAAGCCAAUCGUAGUCCGGGAUCGGGAGUCUGCAACUC
rnacentral:rRNA from 1 species